rnacentral:rRNA from 1 species
AACGAACGCUGGCGGCAGGCCUAACACAUGCAAGUCGAGCGCCCUCGCAAGAGGGAGCGGCGGACGGGUGAGUAACGCGUGGGAAUUUUCCUCAAGGUACGGAACAACUCAGGGAAACUUGGGCUAAUACCGUAUGAUGUCUAGCGACCAAAGAUUUAUCGCCUUGGGAUAAGCCCGCGUCAGAUUAGGUAGUUGGUGGGGUAACGGCCUACCAAGCCUGCGAUCUGUAGCUGGUCUGAGAGGACGAUCAGCCACAUUGGGACUGAGACACGGCCCAAACUCCUAUGGGAGGCAGCAGUGGGGAAUCUUGCGCAGUGGGCGAAAGCCUGACGCAGCCAUGCCGCGUGAAUGAUGAAGGUCUUAGGUUUGUAAAGUUCUUUCGCCCGUGACGAUGAUGACGGUAACGGGAGAAGAAGCCCCGGCUAACUUCGUGCCAGCCGCCGCCGUAACAC